ensembl:lncRNA
UCCUAAACCAGUCCUAUCUGGUGCAAAACACAGAGACAGGAACAAUCACCCACAAACACACAGUGAAACCCAGGCUACCUAAAUAUGGUUCCCAAUCAGAGACAAUGACUAACACCUGCCUCUGAUUGAGAACCAUAUCAGGCCAUACAUAGAAAUAGACAAACAAGACAUCCAACAUAGAAUGCCCACUCAGAUCACACCCUGACCAACCAAAACAUAGAAACAUACAAAGCAAACUAUGGUCAGGGUGUGACACCAUCAGUAAAGCAAAUUCAUAUUUAAAUGCUAUGACAAAUAUGAACACUACCACAAUUUAAUGAUUUCCCUUUAUAUUAAUUGAUGAAUACAAUUAUCUUAAAAUGUAUUCCAAUAAUGGCCCAAAAUCUAAAUAAAAACUCAAGAAUAACUACGUACCUGAAACCUAGAACCUCUGUGCGAUUAAAACUGGAUCCAUAUUUGUUUCGAUAAACUGUGUCCAGCUGUAAAAGUAAUAUAAGCAAUUUUAGCAAUUUAUCUUGAGAACUGAAAUGUUGACAAACAAUUUGAGGGAACGUGUUUGACAUAAUGACAAAUAUAAAAACUUAUUUGGGGGAUGAAAUGCCCCUUUAAGAACCUGACAGCUGUACAACUGAAGAUGAACAGUAUUAUUAAAAGAGUGGAAAGUAAAACAGAAUUUACCGCUGUAGCCACAGUACUUGCUAAUGCUUUGAACGCUGGUGAAGAAACAUUUUUCAAAUCUGCUUUGAAGUUUUGCUCCAAUUUGAAGUCCAACUUAACCUCUGGUGGUGGAGGGGCAGGUGUUCUGAUAGUAGUUGAGGAACCAGUUGUAACUGUGGUCAGAGCAACUGUGGUUGUUGUUGGAGUAGCUGUGGUUGUUUUGGGAGGAGCUGUGGUUCUUGUGGGAGCAGCUGUGGUUGUUGUGGGAGCAACUGUGGUUGUUGUGGGAGCAACUGUGGUUGUUGUGGGAGCAACUGUGGUUGUUGUGAGACCAGCUGUGGUUGUUAUUGGAGCAGCUAUGGUUGUUGUUGGAGUAGUUGUGGUUGUUGUAGGAACAGCUAAGGUAGUUGUGGGAGCAGCUGUGGUUGUUGUUGGAGCAGCUGUUGUUGUUAUGAGGGAACCUGUGGUUGUUGUGGGGGCAGCUGUGGUUGUUGUUGGAGCAGCUGUGGUUGUUGUUAGAGCACCUGUGGUUGCUGUUGGAGCAGCUGUUGUUGUUGGAGCAGCUGUGGUUGUUGUUGGACCAGCUGUGGUUGUUGUGAGACCAGCUGUGGUUGUUGUGGGAGCAACUGUGGUUGUUGUGGGAGCAACUGUGGUUGUUGUGGGAGCAACUGUGGUUGUUGUGGGAGCAACUGUGGUUGUUGUGAGACCAGCUGUGGUUGGUGUGAGACCAGCUGUGGUUGGUGUGAGACCAGCUGUGGUUGUUGUGAGACCAGCUGUGGUUGUUGUUGGAGCAGCUAUGGUUGUUAUUGGAGCAGCUGUGGUUGUUGUUGGAGUAGUUAUGGUUGUUGUAGGAAUAGCUGUGGUAGUUGUGGGAGCAGCUGUGGUUGUUGUGGGAGCAAGUGUGGUUGUUGUGGGAGCAAAUGUGUUUGUUGUUAGACCAGCUGUGGUUGUUAGGGGAGCAGCUGUGGUUGUUGCGGGAGCAGCUGUGGUUGUUGUGGGAGCAGCUGUGGUUGUUGUUGGAGCAGUUAUGGUUGUUGUAGCUGCAGCUGUUGUCGUCGUAGCAGCAGCUGAAGUUGCUAUGAGGGAACCUGUGGUUGUUGUUAGAGCAGCUGAGGUUGUUGUUAGAGCAGCUGUGGUUGUUGUUGGAGCAGCUGUGGUUGUUGUUGGAGCAGCUGUGGUUGUUGUUGGAGCAGCUGUGGUUGUUGUUGGAGCAGCUGUGGUUGUUGUUGGAGCAGCUGUGGUUGUUGUUGGAGCAGCUGUGGUUGUUGUAAGAGCAGCUAUGGUUGUUAUUGGAGCAGCUGUGGUUGUUGUUGGAGUAGUUAUGGUUGUUGUAGGAACAGCUAAGGUAGUUGUGGGAGCAGCUGUGGUUGUUGUGGGAGCAACUGUGGUUGUUGUGGGAGCAACUGUGGUUGUUGUGAGACCAGCGGUGGUUGUUAGGGGAGCAGCUGUGGUUGUUGUUGGAGCAGCUGUGGUUGUUGUUAGAGCAGCUGUGGUUGUUGUUAGAGCAGCUGUGGUUGUUGUUGGAGCAGCUGUGGUUGUUGUUGGAGCAGCUGGUGUUGUUGUUGGACCAGCUGUGGUUGUUGUGGGAGCAACUGUGGUUGUUGUGGGAGCAACUGUGGUUGUUGUGGGAGCAACUGUGGUUGUGAGACCAGCUGUGGUUGUUGUGAGACCAGCUGUGGUUGUUGUGAGACCAGCUGUGGUUGUUGUGAGACCAGCUGUGGUUGUUGUUGGAGCAGCUGUGGUUGUUGUUGGAGCAGCUGUGGUUGUUGUUGGAGCAGCUGUGGUUGUUGUAAGAGCAGCUAUGGUUGUUAUUGGAGCAGCUGUGGUUGUUGUUGGAGUAGUUAUGGUUGUUGUAGGAAUAGCUGUGGUAGUUGUGGGAGCAGCUGUGGUUGUUGUGGGAGCAGCUGUGGUUGUUGCGGGAAAAACUGUUGUUGUUGUGGGAGCAAAUGUGUUUGUUGUUAGACCAGCUGUGGUUGUUAGGGGAGCAGCUGUGGUUGUUGCGGGAGCAGCUGUGGUUGUUGUGGGAGCAGCUGUGGUUGUUGUGGGAGCAACUGUGGUUGUUGUGGGAGCAACUGUGGUUGUUAUGAGACCAGUGGUGGUUGUUGGGGAGCAGCUGUGGUUGUUGUUGUAGCAGUUAUGGUUGUUGUAGCUGCAGCUGUUGUAGUCUUAGCAGCAGCUGAGGUUAUUAUGAGGGAACCUGUGGUUGUUGUGGGGGCAGCUGUGGUUGUUGUUAGAGCAGCUGUGGUUGUUGUUAGAGCUGCUGUUGUUGUUGGGGAUUAGCUGUGGUUGUUGUUGGAGCAGCUGUGGUUGUUGUUAGAGCAGCUGUGGUUGUUGUUAGAGCAGCUGUGGUUGUUGUUGGAGCAGCUGUGGUUGUUGUUGGAGCAGCUGUAGUUGUGGGAGCAGCUGUGGUUGUUGUGGGAGCAACUGUGGUUGUUGUGGGAGCAACUGUGGUUGUUGUGAGACCAGCGGUGGUUGUUAGGGGAGCAGCUGUGGUUGUUGUUGGAGCAGCUGUGGUUGUUGUUAGAGCAGCUGUGGUUGUUGUUGGAGCAGCUGUUGUUGUUAUGAGGGAACCUGUGGUUGUUGUGGGGGCAGCUGUGGUUGUUGUUAGAGCAGCUGUGGUUGUUGUUAGAGCAGCUGUGGUUGUUGUUGGAGCAGCUGUUGUUGUUGGAGCAGCUGUGGUUGUUGUUGGACCAGCUGUGGUUGUUGUGAGACCAGCUGUGGUUGUUGUGGGAGCAGCUGUGGUUGUUGUGGGAGCAACUGUGGUUGUUGUGGGAGCAACUGUGGUUGUUGUUGGAGCAGCUGUGGUUGUUGUUGGAGCAGCUGUGGUUGUUGUAAGAGCAGCUAUGGUUGUUAUUGGAGCAGCUGUGGUUGUUGUUGGAGUAGUUAUGGUCGUUGUAGGAAUAGCUGUGGUAGUUGUGGGAGCAGCUGGUAGUUGUGGGAGCAGCUGUGGUUGUUGUUGGACCAGCUGUGGUUGUUGUGAGACCAGCUGUGGUUGUUGUGGGAGCAACUGUGGUUGUUGUGGGAGCAACUGUGGUUGUUGUGGGAGCAACUGUGGUUGUUGUGAGACCAGCUGUGGUUGUUGUGAGACCAGCUGUGGUUGUUGUGAGACCAGCUGUGGUUGUUGUGAGACCAGCUGUGGUUGUUGUUGGAGCAGCUGUGGUUGUUGUUGGAGCAGCUGUGGUUGUUGUUGGAGCAGCUGUGGUCAUUGUAAGAGCAGCUAUGGUUGUUAUUGGAGCAGCUGUGGUUGUUGUUGGAGUAGUUAUGGUCGUUGUAGGAAUAGCUGUGGUAGUUGUGGGAGCAGCUGUGGUUGUUGUGGGAGCAGCUGUGGUUGUUGUGGGAGCAACUGUUGUUGUUGUGGGAGCAAAUGUGUUUGUUGUUAGACCAGCUGUGGUUGUUAGGGGAGCAGCUGUGGUUGUUGCGGGAGCAGCUGUGGUUGUUGUGGGAGCAGCUGUGGUUGUUGUGGAAGCAACUGUGGUUGUUGUGGGAGCAACUGUGGUUGUUAUGAGACCAGUGGUGGUUGUUAGGGGAGCAGCUGUGGUUGUUGUUGGAGCAGUUAUGGUUGUUGUAGCUGCAGCUGUUGUAGUCGUAGCAGCAGCUGAGGUUGUUAUGAGGGAACCUGUGGUUGUUGUGGGGGCAGCUGUGGUUGUUGUUAGAGCAGCUGUGGUUGUUGUUAGAGCAGCUGUUGUUGUUGUUAGAGCAGCUGUGGUUGUUGUUGGAGCAGCUGUGGUUGUUGUAAGAGAAGCUAUGGUUGUUAUUGGAGCAGCUGUGGUUGUUGUUGGAGCAGUAAUGGUUGUAGUAGGUACAGCUAAGGUAGUUGUGGGAGCAGCUGUGGUUGUUGUGGGAGCAGCUGUGGUUGUUGUUGGAGCAGCUGUGGUUGUUGUUGGAGCAGCUGUGGUUGUUGUAAGAGCAGCUAUGUUUGUUAUUGGAGCAGCUGUGGUUGUUGUUGGAGUAGUUAUGGUUGUUGUAGGAACAGCUAAGGUAGUUGUGGGAGCAGCUGUGGUUGUUGUGGGAGCAGCUGUGGUUGUUGUGGGAGCAGCUGUGGUUGUUGUGGGAGCAACUGUGGUUGUUGUGGGAGCAACUGUGGUUGUUGUGGGAGCAACUGUGGUUGUUGUGAGACCAGCUGUGGUUGUUGUUGGAGCAACUGUGGUUGUUGUAAGACCAGCUGUGGUUGUUGUUGGACCAGCUGUGGUUGUUGUUGGAGCAGCUGUGGUUGUUGUAAGAGCAGCUGUGGUUGUUGUAAGAGCAGCUGUGGUUGUUGUUGGAGCAGCUGUGGUUGUUGUUGGAGUAGUUAUGGUUGUUGUAGGAACAGCUAAGGUAGUUGUGGGAGCAGCUGUGGUUGUUGUGGGAGCAGCUGUGGUUGUUGUGGGAGCAGCUGUGGUUGUUGUGGGAGCAGCUGUGGUUGUUGUGGUAGCAGCUGUGGUUGUUGUGGGAGCAACUGUGGUUGUUGUGGGAGCAACUGUGGUUGUUGUGAGACCAGCUGUGGUUGUUGUUGGAGCAACUGUGGUUGUUGUAAGACCAGCUGUGGUUGUUGUUGGAGCAGCUGUGGUUGUUGUUGGAGCAGCUGUGGUUGUUGUUGGAGCAGCUGUGGUUGUUGUAAGAGCAGCUGUGGUUGUUGUUGGAGCAGCUGUGGUUGUUGUUGGAGUAGUUAUGGUUGUUGUAGGAACAGCUAAGGUAGUUGUGGGAGCAGCUGUGGUUGUUGUGGGAGCAGCUGUGGUUGUUGUGGGAGCAGCUGUGGUAGUUGUGGGAGCAACUGUGGUUGUUAUGAGACCAGUGGUGGUUGUUAGGGGAGCAGCUGUGGUUGUUGUUGGAGCAGUUAUGGUUGUUGUAGCUGCAGCUGUUGUCGUCGUAGCAGCAGCUGAGGUUGUUAUGAGGGAACCUGUGGUUGUUGUGGGGGCAGCUGUGGUUGUUGUAAGACCAGCUGUGGUUGUUGUUGGAGCAGCUGUGGUUGUUGUUGGAGCAGCUGUGGUUGUUGUUGGAGUAGUUAUGGUUGUUGUAGGAACAGCUAAGGUAGUUGUGGGAGCAGCUGUGGUUGUUGUGGGAGCAGCUGUGGUUGUUGUGGGAGCAGCUGUGGUAGUUGUGGGAACAGCUGUGGUUGUUGUGGGAGCAGCUGUGGUUGUUGUGGGAGCAGCUGUGGUAGUUGUGGGAGCAACUGUGGUUGUUGUGGGAGCAACUGUGGUUGUUGUGGGUGCAACUGUGGUUGUUGUGAGACCAGCGGUGGUUGUUAGGGGAGCAGCUGUGGUUGUUGUUGGAGCAGUUAUGGUUGUUAUAGCUGCAGCUGUUGUUGUCGUAGCAGCAGCUGAGGUUGUUAUUAGGGAACCUGUGGUUGUUGUGGGGGCAGCUGUGGUUGUUGUUAGAGCAGCUGUGGUUGUUGUUGGAGCAGUUGUUGUUGUUGGAGCAGCUGUGGUUGUUGUUGGACCAGCUGUGGUUGUUGUGAGAUCAGCUGUGGUUGUUGUAAGACCAGCUGUGGUUGUUGUGGGAGCAACUGUGGUUGUUGUGGGAGCAACUGUGGUUGUUGUGGGAGCAACUGUGGUUGUUGUGGGAGCAACUGUGGUUGUUGUGAGACCAGCUGUGGUUGUUGUGAGACCAGCUGUGGUUGUUGUUGGAGCAGCUGUGGUUGUUGUUGGAGCUGCUGUGGUUGUUGUUGGAGCAGCUGUGGUUGUUGUAAGAGCACCUAUGGUUGUUAUUGGAGCAGCUGUGGUUGUUGUUGGAGUAGUUAUGGUUGUUGUAGGAAUAGCUAAGGUAGUUGUGGGAGCAGCUGUGGUUGUUGUGGGAGCAGCUGUGGUUGUUGUGGGAGCAACUGUGGUUGUUAUGAGACCAGUGGUGGUUGUUAGGGGAGCAGCUGUGGUUGUUGUUGGAGCAGUUAUGGUUGUUGUAGCUGCAGCUGUUGUCGUCGUAGCAGCAGCUGAGGUUGUUAUGAGGGAACCUGUGGUUGUUGUAAGAGCAGCUGUGGUUGUUAUUGGAGCAGCUGUGGUUGUUGUUGAAGCAGCUGUGGUUGUUGUUGGAGUAGUUAUGGUUGUUGUAGGAACAGCUAAGGUAGUUGUGGGAACAGCUGUGGUUGUUGUGGGAGCAGCUGUGGUUGUUGUGGGAGCAGCUGUGGUAGUUGUGGGAGCAACUGUGGUUGUUGUGGGAGCAACUGUGGUUGUUGUGGGAGCAACUGUGGUUGUUGUGAGACCAGCGGUGGUUGUUAGGGAGCAGCUGUGGUUGUUGUUGGAGCAGUUAUGGUUGUUAUAGCUGCAGCUGUUGUUGUCGUAGCAGCAGCUGAGGUUGUUAUGAGGGAACCUGUGGUUGUUUUGGGGGCAUCUGUGGUUGUUGUUAGAGCAGCUGUGGUUGUUGUUAGAGCAGCUGUGGUUGUUGUUAGAGCAGCUGUGGUUGUUGUUAGAGCAGCUGUGGUUGUUGUUGGAGCAGCUGUGGUUGUUGUGGGAGAAGCUGUGGUUGUUGUGUGAGAAGGUGUGACUGUUAGAACAGAUAUGGUUGUUGCUGGAGAUGUUGUGGUUGUUGUCAGAGCAGUUAUGGUUGUUAUGGGAGCAGUUGUGGUUGUUUUUGGAACAUCUGGGGUUGUUGUGGGAGCAGCUGUGGUUGUUGUGGGAGCAACUGUGGUUGUUGUAUCCACAGCUGAAGUUGGUGUUGUGGCUGCUGGGAGUUGUGUUGUUUCGAUGACC